rnacentral:rRNA from 1 species
CCGGUUGAUCCUGCCGGAGGCUACCGCUAUUGGAGUUCGAUUAAGCCAUGCGAGUCGCGAGUCUUAGGGACUCGGCGUACCGCUCAGUAACACGUGGGUAACCUGCCCUAUGCUGGGGGAUAACCUCGGGAAACUGAGAAUAAUACCCCAUAGUUCACCACGCCUGGAACGGUUGGUGGACCAAAGCUCCGGCGGCAUAGGAUGGGCCUGCGGCGUAUCAGGUUGUAGGGGGUGUAAUGUACCCUCUAGCCCUCUACGCGUACGGGUGUUGAGAGACAUCGCCCGGAGAUGGAUUCUGAGACACGAAUCCAGACCCUACGGGGUGCAGCAGGCGCGAAAACUUGGCAAUGCGAGAAAUCGUGACCAGGGAACUCCAAGUGCAUCGGGUAAGACCGAUGCUUUUCUUGACUCUUCAAAGGUCUUGGAAUAAGGGGUGGGUAAGGACGGUGCCAGCCGCCGCGGUAAUACCGGCGCCCCAAGUGGUAGUCGCUUUUAUUGGGCCUAAAACGUCCGUAGCCGGUCUGGUACAUUCGUGGGUAAAUCAACCAGCUCAACUGGUUGAAUUCUGCGAGCACGGCCAGACUUGGGACCGGGAGAGGUGUGGGGUACUCUCAGGGUAGGGGUAAAAUCCUGUCAUCCUGAGAGGACCACCUGUUGCGAAGGCGCCACACUAGAACGGAUCCGACGGUCAGGGACGAAGCCUAGGGGCACGAACCGGACUAGAUACCCGGGUAGUCCUAGGUGUAAACGCUGUGGACUUGAUGUUGGGGGCGCUCCGAGCGCACUCAGUGUCGAAGCGAAGGUGAUAAGUCCACUGCCUGGGGAGUACGGUCGCAAGGCUGAAACUUAAAGGAAUUGGCGGGGGAGCACCGCAACCUGAG